rnacentral:rRNA from 1 species
CCGUAACUAUAACGGUCCUAAGGUAGCGAAAUUCCUUGUCGGGCAAGUUCCGACCUGCACGAAUGGCAUAACGAUGGCCACACUGUCUCCUCCCGAGACUCAGUGAAGUUGAAAUGUUUGUGAUGAUGCAAUCUCCCCGCGGCUAGACGGAAAGACCCCAUGAACCUUUACUGCAGCUUUGCAUUGGACUUUGAACCGAUCUGUGUAGGAUAGGCGGGAGGCAAUGAAACUUUGACGCCAGUCAGAGUGGAGCCGACGUUGAAAUACCGCCCUGAUUUGUUUGAGGUUCUAACCGCAGACAGUGAGCCUGUCUCGGGACCGUGCAUGGUAGGCAGUUUGACUGGGGCGGUCUCCUCCUAAAGGGUAACGGAGGAGUACAAAGGUACGCUAGGUACGGUCGGAAAUCGUGCUGAUAGUGCAAUGGCGCAAGCGUGCUUGACUGCGAGACCGACAAGUCGAGCAGAUGCGAAAGCAGGUCAUAGUGAUCCGGUGGCACUGAAUGGAAGGGCCAUCGCUCAACGGAUAAAAGGUACUCUGGGGAUAACAGGCUGAUACCGCCCAAGAGUUCAUAUCGACGGCGGUGUUUGGCACCUCGAUGUCGGCUCAUCUCAUCCUGGGGCUGUAGCCGGUCCCAAGGGUAUGGCUGUUCGCCAUUUAAAGAGGUACGUGAGCUGGGUUUAAAACGUCGUGAGACAGUUUGGUCCCUAUCUGCCGUGGGCGUUGGAAGAUUGACGGGGGCUGCUCCUAGUACGAGAGGACCGGAGUGGACGCACCUCUGGUGUACCGGUUGUCACGCCAGUGGCAUCGCCGGGUAGCUAUGUGCGGAAAAGAUAACCGCUGAAAGCAUCUAAGCGGGAAACUUGCCUGAAGAUAAGUCUUCCCUGGGGUUUAACCCCACUGAAGGGUCGUUUGAGACGAAGACGUUGAUAGGUCGGGAGUGGAAGAGUUGUGAGACUUGGAGCGGACCGAUACUAAUUGCCCGUGAGGCUUGAUCCU